GGUGCUCAGCCAAAGCACAGCAAGAAUGAACGAGAGCGAGCGGAUUAAGAAGCGAGGGGGGGGGGGGCGCUCAGAUACAUUGUCUGGGUUGAGAGCAAAGUCACAGCAGAUGGCUCACAUUUGGCCUCUGGGGGAAACGUGUGAUUGUCCUCCACGUGCACUGUUUUGGUAUGUGGCAACGUUUAAUCGCACUGGAACAUGUUCAUUAUUCAAAUCCACUGUUGAACUCGCGUUAGCAGAGUUCACUGGUGUUUGUCUCUACAACUUCAAUGUCAUGACCCCCGUCCCGGGUGUCUUUGUAUCUGGGAUCUGAUAGGGAGGAAACAGCUGGCGCAGAGGUGGCGUGCUGAGGAGAGUGGUACCUCCUGUUUACCUCUGAGCUACGCUUCAGAUCAGAUCAGACACUGCAGUAGAACACACUCAGAACAAGAUGACAGUGCAUUUCAGUUCGAUUAGCAAACAACUGAGCGGAGUUGGCCUUGUCCUGUUGUGUAUGUGUCUGUAUGUGUCAGCCAGGAGAAUGAAACUGACGUUUCUUUGUUAUCUCCGCUGGCAAACAUGAGUUGUAAGUCGCCCGAGGGAGGACGGCGGCGGCGCUAAUGGAUUGAAUAAUCGUAUCUGCAGCGCAGACAUUAUUGAUGUGUGAGUGAGGAACGGGACGCUGGACGGCAGCCAAACCAGAGAAGAAGACGCGCGCGUCCCUGAUGUUGGCGCCCAUGAAGCCCUCGCCUGUGAAUGAUCAGGUGGAGGCGACUGGAGCGACUUCCUGGUGGAGUCAGUUCUGAAGCUUUUUCACUGUCUCCGUCUGAUGCUAAAGCUCUAAUAACAAACUGUGACGCUGGAACCUGUCAACGCGACGGGAACGAGGAUCGCAGCGUCUCUCAUCUGAGUCAAUACAUUCACUGACGGAGCCUUUUCUUUGGCCCCCGGCACCUUUCAUCUCUUCUGAUCGGAUCCCUUAUUUGUGCUUUCAUUCAUGGCUUAUGGAUCCAGCGUAGAAGUGGAUUGUGAUCACAGUUUAUACACAAUGUUGGCGACAUUUGUGCACAAACACACUACGAACGCGCUUCCAGAUGAGAGCAGCUGGCGACCACUGCACAUGCACGCAGCGCUUCGCGUGGAGGGAGGGGCCGCAGACGCGCACAUGAGUUUCUAUGAGCAUUUUGAUCUGCAGAAAACUGGGUCAUAUUGUAACUGAAACGUGUGACAUCCGCCCUGAGAGAGCAGGGUGUGAUCCUCUUGAAGCCACAGUUGGAGCCGCUAAAGUCUGAUACUUGUGUGACGGGUUUCAGUCUGAGUCUGCCCUUAAAACGGCUGCUGCGCUGAAGCUCCUUGUUCCAGGUAUUUCGACCCGGUGGCACCGCGGCCCGGUGGUACCGCGGCCCGGUCGCGGCGCCGGUGCCCUGUGCGGCUCGCUCGCCCGCCGCCUUCCUCUCUCCUCAGACAGCACAUCAUUAGCUGUCUUCUGAACACCUGCAGGCCAAAGCCGGGAAGGCACCGGACCUGGAGCUGUGCCAAGACCGAGGAUGAGGGAGGCUUAUCCCCUGCUCUUAACUCGAAAGAUGCAGGAAUUCGUGAGAGGGGAACUCACACAGCUACACGCUCAACCACCGGCGACGUCCUCGCGUCUCCAGCCACGAAAAACAGGAAAAGAUGUUGAGAGGAGCCAAUUAUGAAAAUCCUGCAGCGCUUCUAACAAACGGCUGCUGAGGAGGGAGUGUGUGUGUGUGUGUGUGUGUGUGUGUGUGUGUGUGUGUGUGUGUGUGUGUGCGUGUGCGUGCGUGCGUGCGUGUGUGCGUGCGUGCGUGCGUGCGUGUGUGUUUUUGUGUGUGCGUGCGUGAGCUGCUACAGCUCAAACACCUCAGACGCUGCAUUGGAGGUGAAGGCAAGGUUCUACCUUGUUUCCAGUCGUCACAGACGAGCCUGUGCAGCUCAUGUACGUCAACAGCAGGAAUGUGCAUGACCCGCUGCCAAGAAGCCACAACAUUACCGGCACUUUUUUGGUUUUUCAUUCCACUGAAUCAAUACAAAGAAUAAAGUUGAUUUAUUCCUAACAA